CCUUUCAUUCCCUCUCCUUUGACUCCGAGCGUUCCUUCCACGAGAACACGAGAAGCUGCUCCCCUUGCCCAUUCAGCUCAUCCCAUUCGCACCAGAAGUUCGCUGCUGCGACACGCUGGGCGCCAUGCCGCUUGCUCCUGCGCGUGACGGGUGAGCCGCGCGCUUUCUCCUACUCCCGUGCCUACCGAAGAGGAGGACAUGAGAAGUUCCUACCAUGCUGGAGGAGGAAGAAGACUCCACGCUAAGAUGCUCCAGCAAGCCGCGAUGCACUGAGAGUCUUUAUGUUGCAGCUGGUAUUUGGAUAUGUUAGGAUUAGUGUUUGCUGAUGUUGCACUCGAUGAUCUUUGAUGUUGCAUGAUGGUUUGAGAUGUCCAGUUCUAUGUUUGAUUUUUCGACGCAUUCAACGAUUUUGAGAAGUUGGGAUUAGUAUUUGCUAAUGUUGCAACAAUCAGUAUGAAAUGCUACAGAUUUUUUUUGAUAUUGCAACAAGUGGUGUUGCUUUAGCCUUUUCUCGAUGUUGCAUAAGGUAUUUUUGGAUGUUUCAACAACUGAUUUGCAAAAUUGUCUUACUGAAAAAGAGAGGAUUCUGAUUGAAUUUCAAUGUUACCUGAAACAUUUGUAUUUGUUGCGGUGGGAAUUUAUUUUUUUCAAGAUUAAAAGUUAGUGAUGUUACAAAAGUUACGUUUGAAUGUUGUUGAUUUUAUUUCUUUAUGUUACAACGGACCGUCUGAUGGGACAAUUCCAGCAGCGCUAUUUUUGUUAUGUGUCUUACAUUGUUCAUUUUUUGUUGCAUGCUAACUACUUUCCUAAUACAGGGGUUUGACAAAAACAACAACUCUGCAUUAUUGCGCAUAGGCUGCAAAGCAAUGGUUCGAUUGUUAAGAAGAGGAGAUCAUGGAUGGUAUAUAAGCAAGUUUAUUGACCAACACAAUCAUGCUCUUUCUGAAACCUGUGCAGAGAAAAAACAAUGGAAAUCACAUAGUGAAUUGGAUGCGGUAACAGUCAGCUUUGUUAGGCGUUUGAAAGAGAACAACAUUAGUCUUGGUAGGAUAUGCAAUAUAAUUAACAACGGUAACACAAGAUUUGGAUCAAUCCGCAGAGAAUGCAUUAGAUCUGUUUGUUCAAGAAUGUCUCAAGAUACUUUUAGAGAUGAUUUGGCCAAAACAAUUCAAUUAUUGCAGGAUAUGAUGUACAGGGAUGCUGGUAUGUCAGUUAAGUUUAGAGUGGACAGCCAUGGUAUGCUAACAUUGAUGAUUUGGGUCACUGGGAAAAAUAGAUUAGACUACUGACACUUUGGGGAUGCCAUCACCUUUGACACCACGUAUAGAACAAACUUAUAUAGCUUACCUUUUGGAAGUUUUGUUGGCGUUAACAACCACUUCCAGUCGAUUAUUUGGAGCUGUCUUGCUGACCACUGAGAAGACAGAAGACUUUGAAUGGACAUUCAGGACAUUUGUGGACUUAAUGGGAGGGGUGGCGCCAUUAACUAUUCUUACAGACCAAUGCGCGGCAAUGGCCAAAGCAAUCAAGGAGGAGUUGCCCAACACCAGGCAUCGUUGGUGUAGGUGGCAUGUGUUGAAGAACGCAAAGGAUAAACUUGGAGCCGUAUACUCAAAACGCAAAGCAUUCAAAUAGGAGUUCAAUGAUCUUAUAACAGAUGAGAUAUGCAUAGAAAGAUUAGAAGCUCAAUGGGUAAAAGUUGUUGGGAAGUACCGUUUAAAGAAGAAUAAAUUUCUUAAGCGGUUGUACAAGCAUAGACAAAAGUGGGCGAAGCCGUAUUUUAUGACUACAUUUUGCGCCGGAAUGACUAGCACGCAACGUAGUGAAAGUGCUAAUCAUAUGCUGAAGCCUUUCAUUCAAAGGGCAGCGCCCAUGCAUCGGUUUGUAAGUAAAUUCAAUGAAUUCCAGUCGGACAGACAAGACGAAGAAGGAAGAGAGAAGCAUGUCACUAAAUUGGUCAGAAGGCAAUUGCGAGUAGGGUUCCGUUUGAAGAGCAUGCAAAGGAGGUUUAUACUAGAGCAAUGUAUGAAAAAUUUUAUGAUGAGUUGUUUGAGUCAGGUAAGUAUGCUAUUCAUGCGAUUGAAGAUGGAUGGAAGUAUGUCUUGGUCAAGAACAAAGACAAAUCCUUAAUAGACCCAAAAAUGGUUACGGUUGCGUACAAGAGCGACGAUGACAUAUGCUGUGAAUGUGGGUUAUUUGAACACAUGGGCAUGCUUUGUCGGCAUAUAAUAAAGGUCCUGGUCUUGUUGGAUAAGUGGACAAGAAAAGGUGGACAAAGCAAGCAGCGCAGUGUCAUGUGGAAAAUGAGGUCACAUGUAUAGGUGGUGAGCAUGCAGAAAGUUUGCUGAAGAAGGUUCUCCUAACCAAGACAAUUGAAGUGAUUAGUGGCAAGGCAUCAGUUACGGAGUCAGGUAUACUGCAUGCUAUACAAGCAUUGUCUACCAGCGCUGAAGCAUCACAAGCAGCGUCUGAAAUCCAGGCUCCACAGCAAAUAGAACAUGUAUCAAAUAUUGGAGUGAUGCCCAUUGCUUGUCCUCCUAGGACUGUCAAGGCCGAAGACCUCCUAACACAGGGCUUAAGUCUUGGUUGUCUGGACAAAAGAAGAAGAAGAAGAAGCAAGACCUUGUAGAAGCUAGUAUACCCGCAGCGGACUGGCUAGACAAGGGGAACCCACCUAAUAGAAAGAAAAAGCGUGUAAAUGAUAUUAUGUAAUAAGAGCGUUAAGUCAGUGGCAUGAACUUGUAUGGCUUCCACUAGUAUUAAAUGGCUUUCUGGGUCCAUUUGAAAAAAAAACCCUCAUUGUCUUUGCUCCUGGGCAGUGGUUGUGUGUUAGCAGUUGGUAUGUUCAAACCUCAAUAAGGACGAAUGAUUAGGCAGCAACUUAUAAGCAUUGCUAAUUUUUCCC